CAAGUCGAACGAGGCAAAUAAGAUGAAGUUUUCGGAUGGAUUCUUAUUUACCGAGUGGCGGACGGGUGAGUAACGCGUGGGUAACCUGCCUCAUACAGGGGGAUAACGGUUAGAAAUGACUGCUAAUACCGCAUAAGCGCACAGUACCGCAUGGUACGGUGUGAAAAACUCCGGUGGUAUGAGAUGGACCCGCGUCUGAUUAGCUAGUUGGUGAGGUAACGGCCCACCAAGGCGACGAUCAGUAGCCGACCCGAGAGGGUGACCGGCCACAUUGGGACUGAGACACGGCCCAGACUCCUACGGGAGGCAGCAGUGGGGGAUAUUGCACAAUGGAGGAAACUCUGAUGCAGCGACGCCGCGUGAGUGAAGAAGUAUUUCGGUAUGUAAAGCUCUAUCAGCAGGGAAGAAAA
rnacentral:rRNA from 1 species